rnacentral:rRNA from 1 species
GAUGAACGCUGGCGGCAUGCCUUACACAUGCAAGUCGAACGGUAACAGGUCUUCGGAUGCUGACGAGUGGCGAACGGGUGAGUAAUACAUCGGAACGUGCCCGAGAGUGGGGGAUAACGGAGCGAAAGCUUUGCUAAUACCGCAUACGAUCUCAGGAUGAAAGCAGGGGACCGCAAGGCCUUGCGCUCACGGAGCGGCCGAUGGCAGAUUAGGUAGUUGGUGGGAUAAAAGCUUACCAAGCCGACGAUCUGUAGCUGGUCUGAGAGGACGACCAGCCACACUGGGACUGAGACACGGCCCAGACUCCUACGGGAGGCAGCAGUGGGGAAUUUUGGACAAUGGGCGCAAGCCUGAUCCAGCCAUGCCGCGUGCAGGAUGAAGGCCUUCGGGUUGUAAACUGCUUUUGUACGGAACGAAACGGCUCUUUCUAAUAAAGGGGGCUAAUGACGGUACCGUAAGAAUAAGCACCGGCUAACUACGUGCCAGCCGCCGCCGUAA